ACACAUGCAAGUCGAGCGAUGAAGUUUCUUCGGAAAUGGAUUAGCGGCGAACGGGUGAGGAACACGUGAAGAAUCUGCCCUCCACUUUGGGAUAACACAGGGAAACCUGUGCUAAUACCGAAUAUUGAAACAUAAGUGGCAUCACUGAGUUUUGAAAGAAUUUCGGUGGAGGAUGACUUCGCGGCCUAUCAGCUAGUUGGUGAGGUAAUGGCUCACCAAGGCAACGACGGGUAGCCGGCCUGAGAGGGCGACCGGCCACACUGGGACUGAGACACGGCCCAGACUCCUACGGGAGGCAGCAGUGGGGAAUAUUGGGCAAUGGAGGAAACUCUGACCCAGCGACGCCGCGUGCGGGAUGAAGGCCUUCGGGUUGUAAACCGCUUUCAGCAGGGAAUAAGCGCAAGUGAAGGUACCUGCAGAAGAAGCACCGGCUAACUAUGUGCCAGCAGCCGCGGUAAUACAUAGGGUGCAAGCGUUGUCCGGAAUUAUUGGGCGUAAAGAGCUCGUAGGUGGUUUGUUACGUCGGUUGUGAAAUUCAGGUGCUCAACCCCUGACUUGCAGCCGAUACGGGCAAGCUAGAGUUUGGUAGGGGAGACUGGAAUUCCUGGUGUAGCGGUGGAAUGCGCAGAUAUCAGGAGGAACACCGAUGGCGAAGGCAGGUCUCUGGGCCAAUACUGACACUGAGGAGCGAAAGCGUGGGG
rnacentral:rRNA from 1 species